UACGUAGGGUGCGAGCGUUAACCGGAAUUACUGGGCGUAAAGCGUGCGCAGGCGGUUCGUUGUGUCGGCGGUGAAAGCCCCGGGCUUAACCUGGGAAUGGCCGUUGAAACUGGCGAACUGGAGUGUGGCAGAGGGGGGUGGAAUUCCGCGUGUAGCAGUGAAAUGCGUAGAGAUGCGGAGGAACACCGAUGGCGAAGGCAGCCCCCUGGGCUAACACUGACGCUCAGGCACGAAAGCGUGGGGAGCAGACAGG
rnacentral:rRNA from 1 species